GCCAGGUGAUCUUAAAACGUUCUCUGAAAAGCUCUUGAGGAUUCCUGGUUAAUAGCAUGUUAGAGUUCUGAUGGCG
rnacentral:snoRNA from 1 species